GAGUUUGAUCUUGGCUCAGAUUGAACGCUGGCGGCAGGCCUAACACAUGCAAGUCGAGCGGUAGAGAGAAGCUUGCUUCUCUUGAGAGCGGCGGACGGGUGAGUAAUGCCUAGGAAUCUGCCUGGUAGUGGGGGAUAACGCUCGGAAACGGACGCUAAUACCGCAUACGUCCUACGGGAGAAAGCAGGGGACCUUCGGGCCUUGCGCUAUCAGAUGAGCCUAGGUCGGAUUAGCUAGUUGGUGAGGUAAUGGCUCACCAAGGCGACGAUCCGUAACUGGUCUGAGAGGAUGAUCAGUCACACUGGAACUGAGACACGGUCCAGACUCCUACGGGAGGCAGCAGUGGGGAAUAUUGGACAAUGGGCGAAAGCCUGAUCCAGCCAUGCCGCGUGUGUGAAGAAGGUCUUCGGAUUGUAAAGCACUUUAAGUUGGGUAGGAAGGGCAGUAAAUUAAU
rnacentral:rRNA from 1 species